GUAAGAAUAUAAUCCUGAAUACUCCUAAACCUACUCUUGUAAAUGCGCGGCCCAAGGGUGACUGUCGUUUAGUGUAGCAGUUUAGGGUUUACUUUAGGCCAGCUACAAUACAGUACGUGCUGCUCUGUACAUUUUGCAUUUCCACAUGUUCUGUUCCCGUUUCAUAUCUUGAUUUUGUCUAUGUUUUUGUGUGAAACAUUCUGUUGAACUGUGCAUAACUCUUGUGUGACCUUGAUACUGAGUGUGCAAAGCACAUUCCGUAACUUUCCACUGCUGAUACUCCCUACGCAGAGUAUAUAAAGCCCCGACGCGCAGCUGCGCAUUAGGGCACGACUGAGAAUAAACCAGAUUGAUUUAACUCGUGUGGUUUGCUCUCUUUUUGUCCUCGGAGUACUCCUUGUAACGCAUCUGAACAGCACGCAGCACAAUCCUAACAAUUUGGUGACCCCGACGUGAUACUCUCAAUCAGAAAGUUGCUGUGACAAUAGCUGACGGCCUUUUCAGGGAUCCCCUUCCAGCAUCUGGAGCAAUCCAGUUUCGGCUGAUCUACAAAGAGGGGAUGGUUGGUGAGUCUUGCAAAGUUCUGGGCUGAAGAGUCUGAAAAGCACGGGAGCCUGUGACAUUUUUCGCCGUCUGCACCCUGUGAGCAUUAGAGAACAAAGUCAGUGACCAGUAUGACUUUCUUCAUCAUCGUGCUGAUCUCAACGCUUGGGGCAGGGUUACCCGCACAAGCAAUACACCGGGACCCAAGGGAUAACGAGUUUUAGAAAUAUGUAAACUUCACUGUAAAAACAUCAAUGAAUGAGUAAACCCUGUUAUGUGUGUUCUUUGUUACCCCAUGACAGCAGCGCUCCUUUUCCGGUCCGAAUAGCCCCGUCUAACUACUCUGAGGUUAAUAUGACAUGGCUCAGCCUGUGGCCCAUUUCUUUUCCGUUGUUGCAUGGAUCGUAUAUAUAAUAUGAUGAUCUCACACACAGGUUAUGUCCCUGUGUCGGCCAAGACUGGGGUGUGAAUAAUACUCUGGGCUUGCGUCAGAGUAUUAAAGAGGGGAUUGUAAGAAUAUAAUCCUGAAUACUCCUAAACCUACUCUUGUAAAUGCGCGGCCCAAGGGUGACUGUCGUUUAGUGUAGCAGUUUAGGGUUUACUUUAGGCCAGCUACAAUACAGUACGUGCUGCUCUGUACAUUUUGCAUUUCCACAUGUUCUGUUCCCGUUUCAUAUCUUGAUUUUGUCUAUGUUUUUGUGUGAAACAUUCUGUUGAACUGUGCAUAACUCUUGUGUGACCUUGAUACUGAGUGUGCAAAGCACAUUCCGUAACUUUCCACUGCUGAUACUCCCUACGCAGAGUAUAUAAAGCCCCGACGCGCAGCUGCGCAUUAGGGCACGACUGAGAAUAAACCAGAUUGAUUUAA